GCGGAAAAAACGCUUGAUUACAACGUUCUGUAAAAUUAAGUAAAAUAUUGGAAUUUGAUAUCGCGCCCGAUUUUAUAGUAAACUUCCUGCAAAAUGGCUAUGAUGCAGAUGAAAGAAAAAAAGCACAGUAAACAUCGCAAGAAAACCAUGGAGGAAACACGUCGUGAGGAUUCCUUUCCCGCCGCAGAGGAGGACUUUUUAGACGAGCUAUACGAGGAUACGAAUGCAU